UACGUAGGGGGCAAGCGUUGUCCGGAAUCAUUGGGCGUAAAGAGCGUGUAGGCGGCUCGAUAAGUCUGCUGUGAAAGUCCAGGGCUCAACCCUGGAAGGCCGGUGGAAACUGUCGGGCUAGAGUCCGGAAGAGGCGAGUGGAAUUCCCGGUGUAGCGGUGAAAUGCGCAGAUAUCGGGAGGAACACCUAUGGCGAAGGCAGCUCGCUGGGACGGUACUGACGCUGAGACGCGAAAGCGUGGGGAGCAAACAGG
rnacentral:rRNA from 1 species